AUUGAACGCUGGCGGCAUGCCUUUCACAUGCAAGUCGAACGGCAGCACGGGAGCAAUCCUGGUGGCGAGUGGCGAACGGGUGAGUAAAGUAUCGGAACGUGCCCAGUCGUGGGAUAACGUAGCGAAAGUUACGCUAAUACCGCAUACGAUCUAUGGAUGAAAGCGGGGGAUCGCAAGACCUCGCGCGAUUGGAGCGGCCGAUAUCAGAUUAGGGAGUUGGUGGGGUAAAGGCUCAACAAGCCGACGAUCUGUAGCUGGUCUGAGAGGACGACCAGCCACACUGGGACUGAGACACGGCCCAGACUCCUACGGGAGGCAGCAGUGGGGAAUUUUGGACAAUGGGCGAAAGCCUGAUCCAGCCAUGCCGCGUGCAGGAUGAAGGCCUUCGGGUUGUAAACUGCUUUUGUACGGAACGAAAAGGUUUGGCCUAAUAAGCUGAGCUCAUGACGGUACCGUAAGAAUAAGCACCGGCUAACUACGUGCCAGCCGCCGCAGUAACAC
rnacentral:rRNA from 1 species